GAUGAACGCUAGCGGCAGGCCUAACACAUGCAAGUCGAGGGGUAGAACACUUCGGUGUUUGAGACCGGCGCACGGGUGCGUAACGCGUAUGCAAUCUACCUUGUACAGGGGAAUAGCCCAGAGAAAUUUGGAUUAAUGCCCCAUAGUAUAUAACCUUCGCAUGUUGGUUAUAUUAAAGUUCCAACGGUACAAGAUGAGCAUGCGUCCCAUUAGUUAGUUGGUAAGGUAACGGCUUACCAAGACGAUGAUGGGUAGGGGUCCUGAGAGGGAGAUCCGCCAGACUGGUACUGAGACACGGACCAGGCUCCGACUGGAGGCAGAAGUGAGGAAUAUUGGUCAAUGGGCGCAAGCCUGAACCAGCCAUGCCGCGUGCAGGAAGACGGUCCUAUGGAUUGUAAACUGCUUUUAUACAGGAAGAAACCCUCCCACGUGUGGGAGGUUGACGGUACUGUAGGAAUAAGGAUCGGCUAACUCCGUGCCAGCAGCCGCAGUAACAC
rnacentral:rRNA from 1 species